rnacentral:tRNA from 1 species
UAGCUCAGUCGGUUGAGCAUGGUGCUGACAAUGCCAAGGCCACGGGUUCGGUUCCUGU